GGUGGAUGCUUUUCGCGGUCGGUCUUUCGCUUCGCCUUCGAUGCCGUGUUCGUACUCGCAGUCACGGAUGAUAUUUCACCGAAUUCUACAUGAAUAGCGAUUAUAUAUAAAAUUUAAAUCACAAGUGUUAUGAUAUUUAUUCUGAAUGUUGGUUUUAUGACUGUUUAAUAAGUGUAUGUGCUGUGGGUUGAGUUGGGUACGAUUGGCUACGGUCCCGCAUCCAAAGUGAUAUUUAGUGUGUGUCGACGAUUUAUGUGUAUAACAGGGGUGGAAAAGCAUUCCUGGACCAAUAAUAGAAGAUAGUUGAGCGUGGCGGCGAGGUAGAGGUUGGUCGCGAUGACGACCGACAUAUCGGUGUCCCGCUGGGACCCGUCCAUCGGCCACGGCCAGGAGAUCAUCGACGAGUUCGAGUACGAUGGCGGCAAUUCGUCGUCGAGGCUAUUCGAACGAUCGCGCAUUAAGGCGUUAGCAGACGAACGAGAAAGUGUACAGAAGAAAACUUUUCAAAAAUGGGUGAACUCUCACUUGGUUCGCGUCGGGUGCCGUAUCGGCGACCUGUACGUAGACAUGAGGGACGGCAAGCAGCUUAUCAAAUUGCUCGAAGUGCUCUCUGGAGAGAGAUUGCCUCGUCCAACCAAAGGCAAGAUGCGUAUCCACUGCUUGGAGAAUGUGGAUAAAGCGCUGCAGUUCUUGCGUGAACAACGAGUGCACUUGGAGAAUAUGGGAUCCCACGACAUCGUCGACGGCAACCCGAGGCUCAGUCUCGGUCUUAUUUGGACCAUCAUUUUGCGCUUCCAGAUCCAAGACAUCACAAUUGAAGAAACCGACAACAAAGAGACAAAGUCCGCUAAGGACGCUUUACUGCUGUGGUGUCAAAUGAAGACGGCAGGCUAUAACAACGUCAAUGUACGCAACUUCACGACAUCUUGGCGCGACGGGUUGGCCUUCAACGCCAUCAUACACAAACACAGGCCCGACCUCAUUCAGUUCGACAAGUUGCAUAGAAGCAAUCCUAUGCAUAACCUGAACAAUGCUUUCAAUGUCGCUGAAGAGAAACUUGGACUUACCAAGCUUUUGGAUGCUGAAGACAUCGCUGUCGACCACCCCGAUGAGAAGUCAAUCAUCACAUACGUGGUGACGUACUACCACUACUUCAGCAAGAUGAAGCAGGAGACGGUGCAAGGCAAGAGGAUCGGCAAGGUGGUCGGCAUUGCUAUGGAGAACGACAAAAUGAUGCAGGAGUAUGAGUCGCUUACCAGCGAUCUCCUGCAAUGGAUCGAGCGAACGAUCGAAGCGCUCGGCGACCGAACAUUCGCGAACUCUCUGGAGGGCGUACGUCAGCAACUCAUACAGUUCGCUAACUACCGCACUGUCGAGAAACCACCUAAGUUCGUCGAAAAAGGCAACUUAGAAGUGCUACUUUUCACGCUACAGUCGCGUAUGCGAGCGGCCAAUCAGAAGCCGUACACGCCGCGUGAGGGCAAGAUGAUACACGACAUCAACCGCGCCUGGGAGAGGCUCGAGAAGUCCGAGCACGAGAGGGAACUGGCUCUCAGGGAGGAACUGAUCAGACAGGAGAAACUUGAACAGCUUGCUGCUAGAUUCAACCGCAAAGCCCAGAUGCGAGAGACAUGGCUGUCAGAGAACCAGCGCUUGGUCAGCCAGGACAACUUCGGUUUCGAUCUCGCAGCAGUGGAGGCGGCCGCUAAGAAACAUGAAGCUAUUGAGACAGAUAUCUUCGCGUAUGAAGAGCGAGUGCAAGCUGUUGUGGCUGUGUGCUCAGAGUUGCAGGGUGAAAGGUACCACGACAUGGAACGUGUUUCGGCGCGGCGUGACAACGUGCUGCGGCUGUGGGCCUACCUGCUCGAGCUGCUCCGCGCCCGCCGCGCCCGCCUCGAGCUCUCGCUGCAGCUGCAGCAGAACUUCCAGGAGAUGCUAUACAUCCUGGACUCCAUGGAAGAGAUCAAGAUGCGUCUCCUAACAGACGACUACGGAAAGCAUCUGAUGGGCGUCGAAGAUCUACUGCAGAAGCACGCUCUCGUCGAGGCCGACAUCAACGUGCUCGGCGAGAGGGUUAAGGUGGUAGUGGGUCAAUCUCAGCGCUUCCUGGAACAAGAAGAGGGCGGUUACCGUCCCUGCGACCCCGCCAUCACGGUGGAACGUAUUCAACAGCUCGAGAAUGCUUACGCAGAGUUGGUGCAUCUUGCUGUUGAACGCAGAAAGCGUCUGGAAGACAGCCGUAAGCUGUGGCAGUUCUACUGGGACAUGGCUGAUGAAGAGAACUGGAUCAAGGAGAAGGAGCAGAUCGUCUCCGUUGAUGACAUCGGACAUGAUCUUACUACCGUGUACCUGCUAAUAUCCAAACAUAAGGCGUUGGAGGCAGACGUGCAAGCUCACGAACCGCAGCUGAUGAGUGUGGCCGCUGUGGGAGACGAACUCAUCUCUCAAGGACACUUCGGCGCUGAUAGGAUCCAGGACCGUCUCCGCGACAUCCUAUCUCAAUGGAACCACCUGUUGGACAUGGUGUCUCUACGCAAGAACCGCCUGGACGCCGCCGUGCGUUACCACCAACUGUUCGCCGACGCUGACGAUAUCGACAACUGGAUGCUGGAUACGCUUAGAUUGGUAUCAUCUGAGGACACUGGCGUCGAUGAGGCUCAAGUGCAGAGCUUGUUGAAGAAACACAAGGACGUUACCGACGAGCUCAAGAACUACGCCAACGUUAUUCAGCAGCUCAAACAACAGGCGGCCGAACUAAGUCCGUCCGACGCUUCGAGCGCGGAAGUGGUCGCUCGCCUGGGCGCGGUGGACGCUCGGCACGGCGAGCUGGCCGAGCUAGCGCGGCUCCGCAAGCAGCGCCUGCUCGACGCGCUGUCGCUGUUCAAGCUGCUGGCUGAGGCCGACGCCGCCGACCAGUGGAUCGCAGAGAAGGACCGCAUGCUCGACACCAUGCUGCCGCCUAAAGAUAUCGAUGAUGUUGAGAUUAUGAAGCAUAGAUACGACGGUUUCGACAAAGAAAUGAACGCGAAUGCAUCUCGAGUAGCCGUCGUCAACCAGCUGGCGCGGCAGCUCAUCCACGUGGAGCACCCGCAGGCCGCGCGCAUACAGCAGCGCCAGGCCGCGCUCAACGCCGCCUGGAGUGCGCUCAGGGAGAAGGCGGAAUCUAAGAAGGACGACCUUAAGUCGGCCCAAGGAGUGCAGACAUUCCACAUCGAGUGUCGCGAGACCGUCUCCUGGAUCGAAGACAAGAAGAGGAUCCUUCAGCAGACCGACAACUUGGAGAUGGAUCUCAACGGUGUGAUGACUCUACAACGUCGUCUAUCUGGCAUGGAGCGUGACUUAGCCGCCAUCCAGGCUCGCAUCUCGUCCCUGGAGAGUGAAGCCAGCGCCAUCGAAGGCGACCAUCCCGAGGAGGCUCAGCUCAUCCGCGACCGUGUCACCAUGAUCACUGAGAACUGGGAACAACUUACGCAAAUGCUCAAAGAGCGUGAUGCGAAACUGGAAGAGGCCGGCGACCUGCACCGCUUCCUGCGCUCCGUGGAUCACUUCCAGGCCUGGCUCACCAAGACACAGACCGAUGUCGCUUCAGAAGAUACGCCGUCCAACUUGGCGGAGGCAGAGAAGCUUCUGUCUCAGCACCAGACCAUCAAGGAAGAGAUUGACAACUACAAGGACGAAUACGCCAAGAUGAUGGAGUACGGAGAGAAGAUUACUGCCGAGCCAUCAACACAAGACGAUCCUCAGUACAUGUUCCUACGCGAGCGCCUGAAGGCGUUGCGCGAGGGCUGGGCCGAGUUGCAGCAGAUGUGGGAGAACCGGCAACAGUUGCUGACGCAGAGCCUCGAGCUGCAACUGUUGCAGCGUGAUGCCAGGCAGGCUGAGGUGUUGCUGUCCCACCAGGAACAUCGCCUGGCUAAGGUGGAGCCGCCCGCCAACCUGGAGCACGCUGAGAACAUGAUCAAGGAGCACGAAGCCUUCCUCACCACCAUGGAGGCCAACGACGACAAGAUCAACUCCGUGGUGCAGUUCGCCAACCGCCUCGUGGAGGAGCGGCACUUCGACGCCGACAAGAUACAGCGCAAGGCCGACAACAUCGACGCCCGCCGCAACGCCAACCGCGAGAAGGCGCUGCAGCAGAUGGAGAAGCUGCAGGACCAGCUGCAGCUGCACCAGUUCCUGCAGGACUGCGACGAGCUUGCCGAGUGGGUGCAGGAGAAGAACGUCACCGCGCAGGACGACACCUACCGCUCCGCCAAGACCAUCCACUCCAAGUGGACCCGCCAUCAAGCCUUCGAAGCAGAGAUCGCGGCUAACAAGGAACGCCUGUUCGCCGUACAGAACGCUGCCGAGGAACUCAUGAAGCAGAAACCCGAAUUCGUCGAAAUCAUCUCGCCAAAGAUGAGCGAACUGCAAGAUCAGUUCGAAAACCUACAAACCACAACCAAGGAGAAGGGAGAACGCCUAUUCGACGCCAACCGCGAGGUUCUUCUGCACCAAACCUGCGACGAUAUCGACUCGUGGAUGAACGAACUCGAGAAACAAAUCGAGAACACCGACACCGGCACUGAUCUGGCAUCUGUGAACAUUCUCAUGCAGAAGCAACAGAUGAUCGAGACACAGAUGGCCGUUAAAGCCAAACAGGUCACCGAACUGGAGACUCAGGCUGAAUACUUGCAGAAGACCGUCCCAGACAAGAUGGACGAGAUCAAGGAGAAGAAGAAGUCAGUGGAACAGAGGUUCGAGCAGUUGAAGGCACCGUUGUUGGACCGCCAGCGUCACCUGGCUAAGAAGAAGGAAGCCUUCCAAUUCCGCCGUGACGUUGAAGAUGAGAAACUAUGGGUGCACGAGAAGAUGCCUCUAGCUACCAGCACCGACUACGGCAACUCUCUGUUCAACGUGCAGAUGUUGCAGAAGAAGAACCAGUCGCUGAAAACUGAGACUGACAACCACGAGCCCAGGAUCCUGACUGUCAUCUCUAACGGACAGAAGUUGAUUGAUGAGGGACACGAGGAUACGCCCGAGUUCAAACAGCUUAUUGACGAACUUACCGCGAGGUGGCGAGAACUGAAGGAUGCCAUCGAUGAACGCAAGAACAAACUGUCCCAAUGGGAGAAGGCGCAGCAAUACCUAUUCGACGCCAACGAAGCUGAAGCCUGGAUGAGUGAACAGGAGUUAUACAUGAUGGUGGAAGACCGGGGCAAGGACGAGAUCUCUGCGCAGAACCUGAUGAAGAAACAUGAGAUCUUGGAGCAGGCUGUCGAUGACUAUGCGCAUACUAUCCGACAGCUUGGAGAGAUUGUCAGACAUUUGACUGCUGAUGAACAUCCGCUUAGCGAGCAGAUCUCCGUCAAGCAAUCUCAAGUGGACAAACUGUACGCUGGUCUGAAGGACUUGGCGGGCGAACGUCGCGCCAAGCUCGACGAGGCGCUGCGACUCUUCCAGCUGUCCAGGGAGGUCGAUGACCUGGAACAAUGGAUCACUGAGAGGGAGCUUGUAGCCAGCUCCCAGGAGUUGGGACAGGAUUACGAUCAUGUUACGCUGCUCUGGGAGCGCUUCAAGGAGUUCGCCCGCGAGACACAAGCCGUGGGCUCGGAGCGCGUGGCCACGGCCGAGCGCAUCGCCGACCAGAUGAUCGCCAUGGGCCACUCCGACAACGCCACCAUCGCGCAGUGGAAGGAGGGGCUCAAGGAGACCUGGCAGGACCUGCUCGAGCUCAUCGAGACCAGGACACAGAUGUUGGCGGCCUCCCGCGAGCUGCACAAGUACUUCCACGACUGCAAGGACACGCUGCAGCGCGUGAACGAGAAGGCUCGCGGCGUCAGCGACGAGCUCGGCCGCGACGCCAUCAGCGUCGGCGCCUUGCAGCGCAAGCACCACAACUUCAUGCAGGACCUCAGCACUCUGCACCAGCAGGUGGAGGCCAUCCGCAGCGAAUGCGGCCGCCUGGGCGCGAUGUACGCGGGCGAGAAGGCCGCGGAGAUCACGCGGCGCGAGGAGGAGGUGCGCGGCGCCUGGGCCGCGCUGUCCGCCGCCUGCGCCGCCCGCACCGCCAAGCUGGAGGACGCGGACCAUCUCUACCGGUUCCUCAACCAAGUCAGGACCUUGACCUUGUGGAUGGAUGAUGUGGUCAGGCAGAUGAAUACUGGAGAGAAGCCACGUGACGUCAGCGGCGUAGAACUGCUAAUGAACAACCACCAGUCUCUCAAAGCGGAGAUCGACACUCGCGAAGAUAACUUCUCAGCGUGCAUCUCUCUGGGUCGCGAACUGUUAGCCAGACAGCACUAUGCGUCCGCCGACAUCAAGGAGAAAUUACUUCAGCUGACCAACCAGCGCAAUGCCUUGUUACGCCGCUGGGAAGAACGCUGGGAGAAUCUGCAGCUUAUUCUGGAGGUGUACCAGUUUGCCCGCGACGCGGCCGUCGCCGAAGCGUGGCUGAUAGCCCAGGAGCCGUACCUCAUGUCUCAGGAACUCGGUCACACCAUCGACGAAGUGGAAUCACUCAUAAAGAAGCACGAAGCCUUCGAGAAAUCCGCCGCCGCACAAGAAGACCGAUUCUCUGCACUACAGAGGCUCACUACCUUCGAAGUGAAGGAGAGGAAGCGAAGGCAGGAGGCCGCGGAGGCCGCAGAACGCGAGCAGCGCGAGAGAGAAGCCGCCGAGGCCGCGGCCGCCGCCGCCGCCGCGCAGGACGCCGUCGACCGCGCGCAGACGCCGCAGGAACAACAACCUCAAGAUGUAACGCAUGCAGAGUUGCGCGAGGCGUCCCCCGCCUCGUCCCCCGCCCCGGCCGCGGCUCCCGCCACCGAGCCCGACUCCCCGCCCCGACCCUCCACGUCUAAACAGACGCCCGCCAAACCUGCACGCCUGUCCAGUGAGUAUCGUAGACUUAACAUACACUCUAAUGUCAAUGCGGCAUGGUUUCAAUUUCAUUAUCACUUGUUUUACAGUUUUACGGUUCCAAUAACAAAAUUCUUUAGUUAUAAAAAAAUCCUAAGUUCUUUUUUCUUACCUGAAAUGAAAUUUGAAUCAUGCCCGUGAAUGUAAAUGAAACUCUUAACCCGCUGUUAUGUAAUGGCGAUACGGUACCUUAACAUGUAUUGUACAGUGUAUGUGUACCUUGGACUGCAUGAUAACAUCUGUGUUUUUGUUAUUUACCUACUACUCUGUGUCAGGUUUAGAGAAUACGAACUUUUACAAUUUUAGCAUGAAAAGCUUUUGUUUUUGCUGCGUCGCAAUUUUGUUUUUAUGUUGCUUUGAAUUAUUUUUGUUUUUUUUUGUUUCUUCCUCGUCCCGAUCACCUGAAUUUGCGAUCCUUUGUUGCGGUAAAAUGUAAUGCCCUACCCGAUGAAUCCUUGUCACGGCCCUUGUUCGUAACGUUGCACUAUCCCCGGUACCCACCCGUCCCUGUCUGGCGUGGACAGCUCCCGGCACGAGCUCGACGCCGGCCACGCCGUCUAGUUCCGGUAAGGUGAAGUCGCGGUCACGAAGCAAGUCGCCCUUCAGGAGUUUCCGAUGGCGCACGGCGAAGAAACUGCUAUCCGGAACUCAUCAUAGCGACGACGAAGAGGGCGCUAGUCCCGCGAGUGAAGACGAAGGCGUAGAGGGGACGUUGGUGCGCAAACACGAGUGGGAGUCCGCCGCCAAACGAGCUUCCAACAGAUCAUGGGACAAAGUGUAUGUGGUGGCGAAGGACGGGCGCAUGUCGUUCUACAAGGACCAGAAGGCAUACAAGGCGGCGCCCGACGCGCACUGGCGCGGCGAGGCGCCUCUCGACCUCAACGGCGCCGUCGUUGAAGUCGCCGCCAACUACACUAAGAAGAAGCACGUUUUCCGUCUCAGACUGAGCAGCGGCGCGGAGUUCCUGCUGCAGGCGCACGACGAGGCGGAGAUGGCGUGGUGGCUGGACGGGCUGCGCGCGCGGGCGGCGGCGCCGGCGCCGCGCUCGCACACGCUGCCGGCGCCCGCCAACACCGAGCCCAAGCGCCGCUCCUUCUUCACGCUCAAGAAAAACUAAACAGUUGAGGAGCGUGUGGGUGCGGGCGCCAGUUUCCUCAUUACGCUGCGGGGCGGCCUCGCGCCGCGUGCAGUGCGCGACGCGUGGCCGACGCGUCGCUCGCGUGUGGCGCACGCGUGGCGCACGUGAGGCACGCGGUGCCGACGGCCGCCGCGCAUUUCUCACGACGCUUGCAGCUGUAAGCUUUGCUAAUGACGAAAUAUUGUCGACUCGCGGCACUAUCGACCGUCGAUACGGUCCAUGUUAUUAUUAUUAAUAUUAUUUUUUUGUUGCGUACGAAACGUUAUUUGAGACUGUUCGGUAUCUGAGUGUUCGAUCGUUCGCCCUCGUAAACCGUAUUUAUUGUUCGAUAUUCGUAUCGAAGAUUGAAGAUAUUAUAGUAGAUUUUAUCCAGGUAUGUACGAUCCCACCCCUCGAAAGUGUAAUUGUUAUGAUAUGAAACGAUUAUGAUUAAAUUAAAUACAUAUUAUUAUUAUAAAAUUCUAAAUGCGUCGCUAUUUAUACAUAGAUGAUUUUAGUGUUUAAAUUCAGAUUGAGAAUAUAUAUAUUUUAAUUAUUUAUAUUGAAAAUGGAGCUAGUGUAAUGUAAAUUCAGUUGAACUAGAAAUGUAUGUCGUGCGAUUUACUAAUGAUUCAAAUUUAAAUAAUUAAAAAGAGUUUUAAUCUAUGACCAAUGUAAUACCAAUCGACGGAAUUUGACUAUCGCAUUUGAUAAUGUUUAACUUAGCUAGACGACGGAAGAUUGUAACCGCAUUUACAUUCAAUAGACGAUUUCCCAGUGGAUUGAUGUUUUACUAAUUGUAUCGACAGCUUUGCUACGUUUGGAGCAAUUCGACAUAAUGUAACGUAAGCUACGUACAUAAAUUGUAUUAGAUUUAAUUUCCAUUAUAAAGUGUCUUCUCUUCGACUGUUGGUCGCCGCUGUCCGCUUACAAAUGCCGCAUUUAAAGUAAAUAUUAUCAGAUUUCCUUAGAUUGUCGUUGUUAGCGAGGGGCGAGUAGAUGAUAGUAUAGUCGGUAACUCGGUACUGCGUAGAGAGCGGGCGCCGGCGACCAGCUGUCAUAUAGUAAUCCAAGUUGUAAGUAUGCUUGAUCGCCUCAUAAGUGCUUCUAUGAAAUGACGUAUUUCUAUUAUGAACAUUAAUUUUGUAAUGAUUAUUUUUACUGCCAAUUUCACAAAUAAUAAUUAAUUUUUAUAAGUAAUUAUAACUAAAUUUCACAUUUCAUAAUAUUACGUACACACAUUUUUAGUUCUAUUCGUGUUAUGGUUAUUGUAUAUUUGGCGAGUGUGGUGGUGUUCGCAAGAUGUCCGUUGUGUCGUCGAACUACUGCCACAUUGAUCACUGCAUGUUUCGUAAACCUAUGUUUAUACUUAUUUUAUUUUAAAGAACUUUAUUGAUGAGAAUAUAAAAUAAAUGAUGUUUUCAAAGAA